AUGUCGUCGCCAACACGGCGCGCCCAAGUUCCCUGGUCGAGCAUCCCCACCGAGCUCGCGGGCGUCGUGCUCCGCCUCCUGCCUUGCCAUGCCGACCGGGUCCGCUUCGCUGCCGUCUGCAAACAGUGGCGCGCCUCUGCGCGGCACACCUCUCCGCCCCCGCACUACCCGUGGCUCCCCUUGCCUGACCGGACAUUCUAUAGCCUGCCGGGAUCCGCCUUCCGGCCGCUGCCGCUCCACCUCGACCGCCACCGGCAGCUGCCGCACGCGCAGAGCUCCUGCGGCGAGUGGCUCGUGUUUGAGCGCUACGACGGCGCCUAUACUCUGGUCAGCCCCUUCUCCAUGUCCACCACCAUCCUGCUCCCCGGCCUCUCCGACACGUACGCCCCCAACGUGCCUCUCCUCGUCGCGAACGACCAUGUUGAAGUCAAGUCCCGUGCUGCAAGUAUUUUUCAGUUUCCUUCAGUGAGAUAG
rnacentral:rRNA from 1 species